rnacentral:rRNA from 1 species
UACGUAGGUAGCAAGCGUUGUUCGGAGUUACUGGGCGUAAAGGGUGCGUAGGCGGCUCUAUAAGUAUGGUGUGAAAUCUCCCGGCUUAACUGGGAGGGUGCGCUAUAGACUGUGGGGCUAGAGUGUGGGAGAGGAAAGUGGAAUUCCUGGUGUAGCGGUGAAAUGCGUAGAUAUCAGGAGGAACACCGGUGGUGUAAACGGCUUUCUGGACCAUAACUGACGCUGAGGCACGAAAGCGUGGGUAGCAAACAGG